ensembl:lncRNA
AUGUAUUUAGGUCUCCUCUCUUCAGCUUUGAAGAUACACCAGGCGGGAAAUAGGAUCCUGAACACAGGAAAUAGAUCCCGGCAGGAAAUGCAAGGAUAUCAUGUUCUUUCAACAAACAUCUCAAAGUUUUCAAGUGUUCAGAUUCACAAUCUUCAAAAGAAACUGUGCCAUAUCCAUCUUCAUAAGUGUUUGCCAACAGAAAAUGGAAUCGCUUAGUUUGCUAAUAGGCUACGAAGAUGCCAAAACAAGUGUUUCUUCAAAGUGUUACUUGUCGCACGCUAUUUGUGCUAUUGAUACCUCAAAUUGAGCUGCUUACUGAAUGAUCAGAUUUUAGUUUCUUGCCUGGUGGAUGAUAAAACUAUUUUUUUCUCUUGAAAGAGAAAAUUUUGACUUGAGCUAGUAAGCAACCACAGCAACAGGCUAGUAUUAUAGAAGUGUGUUUUCCCUGGAAAAACACUGCUCGUUCUUUCUUGAGAAAAUGUUAAGUCUAGAUCCCAGUAUAAUUCCUGAUUAUUUUUUUAAAGACUCAAGAAACACACACAAACUGCCUUCAGUGAAAAGAUACAAGUGUCCACACAUUAACUUGAAAAUUCAGUGCCUAAAGCGAAUUUUCUUUCUAGCAGAAAGUCUCUUGGUGUAAAUUAAAAUGGUUUUAAAUGUCCAUGAUUUUACACUUUUCCUUUUGUUUGGAUGAUUUCUGGUUUGUUUUUAUGUCUUUAUUGUUCAAAGUGAGAUUGAGUGACAUUGACUUUUUCACACAGUGCCAUCUGUGUUAAUUCUGGUCUAUUAUUGUCGAAGGGAAAUGUUAAAUGUGCUGUGAAUGUACUGAAAUCAUUUUUUUUUACCAUAAGCACUUGCUGUCAUAACCAAGUGUCUUUAUCUUUGAUCAUGCUGCAACAAGAACAAUAAUCAAGGCCAAUAAUGUGUGUUUGACUUUUUCCACAAUGUUUCAUUCACUUUUUUGAUCACAUUUAUUGUUUGCCACAGACUUCGCAAAUGUUGACGCAGGAUUCUUGAUCUCUUGAUAACUGGCAUUUUGUAAGUGAAUAUGGUUGGUGACACAGAUUUGCCUUCAACAUGAAGAGCUGUUUGUAAGACUGAAUCAGUGUUACGUUGAGCUGUUUACCUGGUCUCAGCUGCUCUGUACAUAGCUCAGAUCCUGAUUUCCACCCCUCCGCUGGCGAUGAUGUAAUGUCCCUGUGUAUAGAAGUCCAGGGGUGGUAUCCAGUGAAAACUGUUUUGAUCGUUUGUUGGUUUUUAAAUAAACUCACAUGUAUAGAAGUACACACAUAUACACCCAGUUUCACACAUGAAUACACACGACUCAGUAUUGGAGCACACACUUAUUUUCAAACAUAAAUCAACAUGGAGAUUUUAUCAUUCUAAUAAACACAUUUGAUUGUUUGACCUAUGUCUCUGUUAAAUGUGUCAUCUGAAUUAAAGACUUUAAGUUUGCAGUAAGGAUCACUAUAAAGAGUUAUAUAGGUGCCAGUUGCCCAUUGUAUUGUUAAUUAUAAAACAGACUUUUGCUGGCUACUGUAGAUCACUAGGUUAGCUCCUAAACUUAGUAUACGUUAGAGGCUAUUUCUACCAGCAGGGAGUUAUAGCAGCAUGUAAUGAAUUUUCUUUCAAAAUAACAUUUUUAAUUAAAAAAGAGCCUAUACUGAUAAUUAAUCAAAGUAGUACAUCACUUUAUGCCAUGCAAACUAAAAUACAUUUUCAUUGUCCUCAUCAUGUACGUCUCAUUUUGAAUAAAAUAUUUAAUUCACAAUUCAAACCAUAUUGAAAAUUAUUGCAAUCCAAAAUAUUGCAUACAAAAAUAAAUGUAUUUUUUUCCAAAGGUAACAUACAGUGGUGGCACCAUGGUACUUGUUCGAUUAUCUUAUUGAUGCACCAUAUUAUUUAAAUUGUUAUACAUCCAGUUUCACAAAAUUAAUUAAACAUAGGUGCAAUUUUUUUUAAAUAAUUUCACUACUUUGGUUUGAGUAGAUGUUGCCAUUUUUGACUUGUCUCAAUGUAUUUCUAAAUCAAAACAGGCAAUUUAUUAAGUAAUGCUUAUUUUCAAACAAAACAUGUUUUGGGAUGUUGUUUUCAUUGGUAAUAAGAUUUUUAGGAUUAUUGAUAUUCCAUAUUAGAAUUUCCAUCCUGUUAGUUUUUUGUACAAUCCCUUUAACAAAAGCCAGUUCCUCAGUGGCAUCAUCCUCCAGGAAGUGACAUCAUUUUGGAAGGAAAACAACAGCACAAACACUAGUAAGUAUUAGACAUUUAUUUGACUGCAUUCAGUGAUGCUUUGUGGUUUUAGUUGGUCUGUCUUAUUACAUUCUGCUGAUAAAACUAUCAAAUGUGGUAUCAAAGACGGUUAAAAAUAUAUAUAUUCAAAUUUUUUACAUCAUUAUGUACUGUAAACAAUCUAUCAGUCCCUCACUAAUUAGAGCAUAUAUCUAGCUAAUUGAUAUAUACAUGUUUAUCAAUUAGAAAGGUUGUUGUUUCCUUCAUUUGCACGACACCCUCCAGUAGAUGGCGUUCUACUGAACGCACAUUGAGAUUUCACACAGCAUCUCUCUGUUGCUAUGAGGAUCCAUGUCACCAUAGCAACAUCUGUGCAAAGACUAAAGUGAUGUUGUUUUAAAGGAUCAUUACUUGGAAGUUAAUUAGACACAUCAACAUAUCAAUUACAUCAGGAAUUUAGCAUCAAUGCAGUUUAAUUUGACUCAUUCAUGAUCUUUGCUUCUUAAUGGGUUUUAAAAAUAAAAAUAAGUCAAAGGUGUAACAUUUUGUACCAGAUCUAACACUUUUGUAUCCAGAUGUCGCAAAAACUACUGAGCUGCCUAUAGUAGGCUACUGUGGAACUUUGAUAUUUACUUUGAUUAAGGUACUUUACAAAUAUAUAAUAUUGUAUAAUUAUGGUAACAUUUCAAAACAACAUGGCAGUAUAGUAGAGGUUUUUGGUUGCCCACUCUCCACUCUCCAUGAGGUAUUUAACACUGGGCCAAUUUUCGGUUCAUGUGAUAAUAGGGAUGUGAUAAUAAAUGCGUUUAUGUGCACCAGACUGCAGUGACAACGCAUGUGACAAACACACUAGAUGACCACUAGAGGGCGGCUUAACCUUAAAUGACAUCUCGUGCAAACCGUUUGCUGAAUAUGGCAAGAGAACCAACCCUGCAAAAAUUACAGAUGUAAUAAUGUUUUGUUUAUUUAUUUGUUUGUUUGUUUGAUUGAUUGUUUGUUUUAUUAUUGAUAUUUGUGUACUAUAUUCAUGGUAUAAAUAUAUUUUAUUUAAAAGAAUAAACAUUUUAUAUUUAAUAAAUAAAAAUAUUCAGUUAUAAAAUCAUCAUAAAUUCAAAAUAAUAAUAAAAUGUAUGAAUGUAAAUAAAUAUAUAUUUUAUACAUUUAUUAUUUAUACUACAUCAUAUAAUAAUAUAAUAUAUAAUGAUAAUUCAUAAUUAUAAUGAAAUCAACCAUAAAUCAUAUAUGUGCAUGCGUGUGUGUGUGUGUGUGUGUGUGUGUGUGUGUGUGUAUGAUUUUGCUCAUAUGAAAAAUUGCAUGUGAUCAAAGUCACUUUGGAUAAAAUCAUUUGCUGAGUGUUAGCUAAAUUUAAUUAAUAUGAUAUCAUAUAAUAUUGUAUAAUAUAUAAUAUAAUAAUUUUAUUUAUGCAAUAUUUCCAAAUUGAUCUAUUCUCUUCAUCGUGAAAAUAAUUAUGGGCACAAAUAAAUAAGUGCAGAGGAUAAUUAUUCAAACAUUUUAUUAAAUUGCAAAAAUAUAUUAAAAUAUUUUUUUUUUUACUUUCUCUCUGAAACUAACAGUCAAAAACAGGCGUACCAUGAUGCUAUUUUAUUUUCAGCAUGAUAGUUGUAAAUCUUGCAACCAUGGUAAGACUAAUGUUUUGUAAGGGUAGACAGUCUGAUGUAGACCAGCCUUUAUUAUAUUGUGUUUCUCACGGGGACUUGCCUCAAACUAAUCUAGAUCAACAGACUCUA